rnacentral:rRNA from 1 species
CCCUUAGAUGUUCUGGGCCGCACGCGCGCUACACUGAUCGAGCCAGCGAGCCUGUCCCUCGCCGGUAGGUGCGGGUAAUCUUGUGAAACUCGAUCGUGCUGGGGAUAGACCAUUGCAAUUAUUGGUCUUCAACGAGGAAUUCCUAGUAAGCGCAAGUCAUCAGCUUGCGUUGAUUACGUCCCUGCCCUUUGUACACACCGCCCGUCGCUACUACCGAUUGAAUGGUUUAGUGAGAUCUUCGGAUUGGAGUCCUCGGUGGCGGCGACGUCGCCUUGGACAACCGAAAAGUUGAGCUAACUGAAUUAUUUAGAGGAAGUAAAAGUCGUAACA